rnacentral:rRNA from 1 species
GCUGAUGCCGUGCCAGCAGGCGUGGGAAGACGGAGGAGACAAGCGUUAUCCGGAAUCAUUGGGUUGAACGGGUACGUAGGCGGCUUAAUAAGUCAGCGGUGAAAGUUUGCAGCUUAACGGUAAAAUUGCCAUUGAUACUGUUAGGCUUGAAUUAUUGUGAAGUAACUAGAAUAUGUAGUGUAGCGGUGAAAUGCUUAGAUAUUACAUGGAAUACCAAUUGCGAAGGCAGGUUACUAACAAUGGAUUGACGCUGAUGGACGAAAGCGUGGGUAGCGAACAGGAUUAGAUACCCGAGUAGUC